CAGUCGCCGCGGGAAUACGAAGGGUGCAAGCGUUAAUCGGAAUUACUGGGCGUAAAGCGUGCGUAGGCGGUUUGUUAAGUCUGUUGUGAAAUCCCCGGGCUCAACCUGGGAAUGGCAAUGGAUACUGGCAAGCUAGAGUGUGUCAGAGGAUGGUGGAAUUCCCGGUGUAGCGGUGAGAUGCGUAGAGAUCGGGAGGAACAUCAGUGGCGAAGGCGGCCAUCUGGGACAACACUGACGCUGAGGCACGAAAGCGUGGGGAGCAAACAGGAUUAGAUACCCGAGUAGUCCCUGUCUCUUAUAC
rnacentral:rRNA from 1 species